rnacentral:rRNA from 1 species
UGCGUAGGGUGCAAGCGUUAAUCGGAAUUACUGGGCGUAAAGCGUGCGCAGGCGGUUUUGUAAGUCUGACGUGAAAUCCCCGGGCUCAACCUGGGAAUUGCGUUGGAGACUGCAAGGCUAGAAUCUGGCAGAGGGGGGUAGAAUUCCACGUGUAGCAGUGAAAUGCGUAGAGAUGUGGAGGAACACCGAUGGCGAAGGCAGCCCCCUGGGUCAAGAUUGACGCUCAUGCACGAAAGCGUGGGGAGCAAACAGG